GCAGGGCCGCUCAUCCCACAGCGGGCCCAGCGAGACUGGCCCAGGCAUCCGGGCCCUGCCACGCCUCGCGUCCCUGAAGCCGUAACCGACUCCGCUGGGACGGAGACAAAACUAUGGCAGCAGCCGUACACCAGCCUUUCCUACCUCCUACCCCAAGAGCGAAGCGCAGAACCCCCAUUCCCCACUCACCGCCAGACCGGAACCAGGAAGGCGGAAGUCGCGACUUUCCCGUCCCGCCCACAGGCCGGCUCCAACCUUCGAGUCCAGGGUAAGGAAGUCGAGGUGCCAAUUUCCGGUCGCGGCCCUGUUGGAGUAGGCCCGGGACUCCGGCUUUGCAGGACGCGGGGGCGGGGUGGGGCGGCGCUGGGAUUUCCGAGGAGCGGCAGGAUGAAGUACAAACUCCUUAGAAGAGCCUCAAACUUCUGUAUAAAUCUUCAACAUGAUAGAGGACCUUUUGAGACAUCCAUAAUUCUAAAGGAUGCCACCUAGCACCAUGGUUGAGAGUAUAAAUUCUGCAGCCAAACAACCUGGGUUUGAAUCCCAGCUCGGCUGACAACAUUAUGAGAAUGUGCACCUCACAGAACGCCAAUUACAGAGAGCUUAAUUGGCCAAUGGCACCAGCUACUGUGGACUGAAAUCCAUCACGUUUGUGCCAAGACCUUCUCUCUCAGUGACUGAGCAUGGCAGAGAUGCUAAGACAGGCUCAAGGACGCACUCUUUGCCAUGCCAACCCUUCUUUCAGCUGCAUAGCAGUCUAGGGCACUUUCACUCAACUUCUCCUUCCCACUCUUUCUUACUUGGGGGUCAGACUUGCAGUAUGGUAUGGUAGCCCACCUAAUCUUUCUCAGUUUCCUCCCCAUUUUUUCUCACAGUUGUUACCUCUAAUAAAAACUUUGCACAAUUAAUCCCACCUUGCCAUCUGCUUUUGGGAGGACCAAGUGGCAAAAUUGGGAUUUGGGGCAGACUCACCCACUGCCCAAAAAAAUACCGUCCUGCUUGGUAGGAGGGGCACAC
rnacentral:lncRNA from 1 species